rnacentral:rRNA from 1 species
GUUCCACACGUACCCAUCCCGAACACGACCGUUAAGCCCUCCAGCGCCGAUGGUACUUGGACCGAAGGGUCCUGGGAGAGUAGGACGCCGCCAAGC